CAAAUUUUGAAUGGUGCAAGAAUUUCUGAUGAAUUCCAUAAUUUCUUAAUUGUUCAACAUUUUCCAGUAAUCCGUGCUCUGCAAAAAGGAAAUAUAGAUGGAACACUGUUUACUUAAAUAAGCAUAUGUAUAGUAUAUCAUUAAUACAAAAAAUCAAAUAAAACAUCAAAAAAGAUGAAAAAGAAAUUUCAAAAAUAAAAAGAAAGCAUGAAGUUAGCAAAAUCAACAAAACAGUAGAGUAUAGAAGAGUUUGUGGAGAAUAGAAGAGAAAAAAGAGAUUACUGGGAAAAAUAAUUUCUGAAAUACGGAGAGAAGAAAUUUUAAUUAAAUUGGCUAUUAUUAUUGGUUGACAAUAUUAAGUUUAAAUUCGAAACGAAUAUUACUGUUUCAACAAAAUUUGGUGGAACAAAUGGAAUGGUUACUGUUGGUUCAAUAUUUCAAUAAGAAAAAGCUCAAUCGGAACAUUAUAGGAUUUGGGUUUGGUAACUUAAAAUUUGUAAUUUUAAAAGAAAGUGAUUUUUUUUGUAAAGAAAUUCAGUACAGUCUUGUUCGUACAAUGUUUGAGAACAUUUUUUAGUGUCGAUUUCAAAUGAACAUUCUGAUAUAUUUUGUUAAGUAGAAAUAUUUUAAGUUGAUCCAAAUAUGCCGCAAAAUGCUAGUGUCAUUAUAAAGAGAAAAAAACUAUGUCCGUUUAUCAAAGUGCAGAUCUAAAUACUUUAAUAUUAAUUAUUCAUAUAAAUGUUGGAUUUAGGAUUAUUUUAUCUCAAGAAAUUUUAUUCCCAAGAAAUUUUAUAAAUACUUCAAAAAUAUGCAAAAUUUUUUGAACACAGCUGAUCACAUUUCGCUGAACAUGAUCUGAACACAUUUCAAAUAUUAUAUUUGAAUGAAAUCAAUUUAGGAUUUAGCAACUUAGAAAUUUUUUUAAUUUUAUACUCGGAAUAAAUUAAGAAACCAAAAAACUUAAUACAGUCAGCCACUAAAAAUAACUUGUUGCAUUUAAUUAUCCUAACUUUAUUUAUUUAUUUAUUUAUUUUUUAUUGAAUAUUUUAACUAUUUUUAUUCGAAUUUUCUCCUUAUUUUUGUUUUUAACUAGUUUAAUUUUAUAUUUUAAAUAUACAAUA